rnacentral:tRNA from 4 species
GCGCCCUUAGCUCAGUUGGAUAGAGCAACAGCCUUCUAAGCUGUGGGUCAAUGGUUCGAAUCCAUUAGGGCGCGCCA